rnacentral:rRNA from 1 species
GAUGAACGCUAGCUACAGGCUUAACACAUGCAAGUCGAGGGGAAACGAUAUUGGAAGCUUGCUUCCGAUAGGCGUCGACCGGCGCACGGGUGAGUAACGCGUAUCCAACCUGCCCAUCACUUGGGAAUAACCUUGCGAAAGUAAGACUAAUGCCCAAUGACAUUUAUAGAAGGCAUCUGAAAUGAAUUAAAGAUUUAUCGGUGAUGGAUGGGGAUGCGUCUGAUUAGCUUGUUGGCGGGGUAACGGCCCACCAAGGCGACGAUCAGUAGGGGUUCUGAGAGGAAGGUCCCCCCACAUUGGAACUGAGACACGGUCCAAACUCCUACGGGAGGCAGCAGUGAGGAAUAUUGGUCAAUGGGCGAGAGCCUGAACCAGCCAAGUAGCGUGCAGGAAGACGGCCCUAUGGGUUGUAAACUGCUUUUAUAGGGGAAUAAAGUGAGCCACGUGUGGUUUUUUGCAUGUACCCUAUGAAUAAGGACCGGCUAAUUCCGUG